rfam:Cajanus cajan Scaffold000111_5, whole genome shotgun sequence.
CCGACCUUAGCUCAGUUGGUAGAGCGGAGGACUGUAGUUAGUAACAGAUAUCCUUAGGUCGCUGGUUCGAAUCCGGCAGGUCGGA